rnacentral:misc_RNA from 1 species
AGAACUUCGGUUCUUAGCGGCGGACGGGUGAGUAACACGUGGGUAACCUGCCUCAAAGAGGGGGAUAGCCUCCCGAAAGGGAGAUUAAUACCGCAUAAUAUCGGGAUCUCGCAUGAGAACUUGAUUAAAGGAGCAAUCCGCUUUGAGAUGGACCCGCGGCGCAUUAGCUAGUUGGUGAGGUAACGGCUUACCAAGGGGACGAUGCGUAGCCGACCUGAGAGGGUGAUCGGCCACAUGGAACUCAUGACACGGUCCGGACUC